rfam:Brachypodium distachyon strain Bd21 chromosome 2, whole genome shotgun sequence.
CAUCUAUUCUCUCCAUCCGAAAAUAAGUGACUCGGAUAUUUCUAGAUUCAUAUGUAACUAUAUACUAGGAUUUGUCUAGAUUCGCAUGUAUCUAUAUACUGAAACGCGUCUAGAUACAUACGAAUCUAGACAAAUCCGAGUCACUUAUUUCCGGACGUAGAGAUUAUAUG